AGUGAACGCUGGCGGUAGGCCUAACACAUGCAAGUCGAACGGCAGCACAGUAAGAGCUUGCUCUUACGGGUGGCGCGUGGAGGACGGGUGCGGAAUACACCGGAAACUAAUUUUUCGUGGGGGCUAAUGUAGGGAAACUUACGCUAAUACCGCAAACGACCUACAGGAUAAAGUAGGGGAUCAUCGGACCUUGCGCGAUUGAAUGAGCCGCUGCCGGAUUGGCCAGUUGGCGGGGUAAAGGCCCACCAAGGCGACGAUCCGUAGCUGGUCUGAGAGGAUGAUCAGCCACACUGGAACUGAGACACGGUCCAGACUCCUACGGGAGGCAGCAGUGGGGAAUAUUGGACAAUGGGCGCAAGCCUGAUCCAGCCAUGCCGCGUGGGUGAAGAAGGCCUUCGGGUUGUAAAGCCCUUUUGUUGGGAAAGAAAAGCUGCAUGUUAAUACCCCGCUGUUCUGACGGUACCCAAAGAAUAAGCACCGGCUAACUUCGUG
rnacentral:rRNA from 1 species